rnacentral:tRNA from 1 species
AGUAGGUAAAUGGAGAACCAUGUUUAUUUACGGAUUAAAAUGUUAUCUUACUU